rnacentral:rRNA from 1 species
UACGGGGGGGAGCAAGCGUUGUUCGGAUUUUACUGGGCGUAAAGGGCGCGUAGGCGGUCAGCACAAGUCAGUUGUGAAAAUCUCCGGGCUUAACUCGGAAAGGUCAACUGAUACUGUGCGACUAGAGUGCGGAAGGGGCAACUGGAAUUCUCGGUGUAGCGGUGAAAUGCGUAGAUAUCGAGAGGAACACCUGCGGCGAAGGCGGGUUGCUGGGCCGACACUGACGCUGAUGCGCGAAAGCCAGGGGAGCGAACGGG